ensembl:lincRNA
CAAAAGUUCCGACUCGUCGGCUGGACAGAGCUCAUCUCUGAGCAUUUGCGCCGCGGGCUGAUCCUGAAGCAGACGAUCGUCUCCCGGCUAAAGGCGGCGGAGAUGAGAAUAGACGCCCUUGAGAAGAUCCAGGUGGCGGACGGCCGGGGAAAGGCAGCGAGCCGGCGCCCCAGUCCUCCCCGCUGCGACUGCGUCUGCCAUCGCUUGGAAGCCUAUGAGGGCAGCCAGGAGUCCAACGUCGACUCGUCGGAGGACAGCGCCGCCUGAAGCUUCGCCGAGAACGAGAGAGAAAAGGAUACUCAAAAACGUAUAAAGUCACCUUAUAAUAAAAAAAAAUACAAUUCGGUUAUUUUAUAUUGUUUUUAUACACGGAUUUGCAUUUUAAUGUUGAAAUUAAAAUGUGCGAAUCUGAUGUGUGGUGAGCGAACUGACGCGCUUGGCUGCCGUCGCAUCAUCCAGGUAGGGGCUACACAUGCAGGUGCAGGUGUUGGUGGAGGGGAAUCCCGUUACAUGUAAAGCACAUUGAGGGUUCAAGAAAAGCACUAAAUAAGUGUAAGGGUAUAUAUAUAUGAAAUGUAAAGAACUUUAUCUCUGUUCUAUUGAAUUGGUGUGAAAACGGCAGGAAAUCUCUUUCUGUAUUUUUAAUUUUGAAGCAGAUACCUACAAAAAAAAUGUACUAGUCCUCUUGUAAAUAAAUGCGUAUCUGGUAUGGAAAAAUCAAUCAAUAAUUUAGAGGUAUUCUAAACCACUGUAAGCUACUAUUUGUGGGCCCUUUCUUCUGUAAACAUUUAAAGUGACAUCUAUGAACUCUGGGCUUUCUCUACUUUUAUAUCAUUAUCUCACAGUUUGAGCAUUGCGAAAGACAAUGACAAAUGACAAAUCCUCAUAUCUUCUGAACCCCUUUCUGUGCAGUACAGAUGUAAUGGGAAAUACUGCACUUCACCCUCACUGGGAUUUGUGACAUGUGAUGCCAUCACAAUGGGCUGAUGAGGGCUGUUCGCCUCUUGGAUUUUGAACAGGUGAUUGGUGGAAAGCAGAAGACUGAAAUGGCUUGCUCGCAGCACUGCAAGCUACCAGCAUGGUCAAGGGUGGGAAUGGAGAUCACCCCAGAUGAUCUUAAGGAAACACUUGCUAACAAACCGAGCGAAGGUCUGUACGUGACAUCGGGGCCACCAUGUCCCUUCCUGAUGGCCUGCCUUGCUGCUGUUUUUUUCUGCAUAUUGUCGUUGUGCCUGUACAUCAGACUUACGAAGAAGAAACAAGAAAAGCCCCUCUCUGCAUGGAGUGUCAGCAUGUCAGGUAUCCCCAGUGAGUUCAAGGUCCUGUAUCAGGGGCUCAUUUUACAAGAGAUGAUCUUCCAGCGGAUUGGGGCUAUGGAGCUCAGGAUCGAGUCCAUCGAGGACUUUCUAGCGGGGCUGUGGCACAGAAGGUCGUCAGGAGACAAGAGGAGGAAGGACAAGACAGGGGAGCAGUCAUCAGGAAAGGAAACAAUGAGGUUCUCCGACAGCUUCUCGGAGUGAACCCAUUCCUGGUCCCUUCUGACCACCAUAUUGGCGGCCCAAUAAAAAAUCCCACUGAAGUUACUGCAAAUGAGUGUUGGCACAUUGUUAUGAAAAGGAGUUUAAAAGGAAAUGUGCAUGUACAUAUUGAAUUCCUUCAGCACAAUUUAAAAAUAAAAUCCGAGUUUUU